CGCACUGGAACCAGGCGUGCGGCGCCCCAGGCGCCGGGCCUGCGGCGGCCGGAACCGGAACGCGCGCCCGCGGGGUAGGAGACCUGGAGCUGGAGAACCCGCCCGCCAGAGUCGUAGUAGUGGAUGGGGAGUAGCCGUCCCAUUUUCAACACAUGUCUCAUUCUAAAUUGACGUUUUGGUGGGCUGGCCGAAGAAGGAGAAAGACCCGCGGCUCCGACCUCUGACCUCUAACCCCGGACGCACUUUGAUUUCGCCGGCUUGCGCGGAAGGCUGACUCCCUGGGCCGCGGCCUGGCGCGGGAGCCGCCUGUGGGGUGUCCCCGGCGCGGGAGGGUGCUCUGGUUCAGGCAGGUUCCCGUUGCGGCGGGGUUCCCUCGGUUGGGAGGAAUGCCCCUGCCGAGGGUAUGCUCCGGCUGGAGGGGGUGUCCCUAACGGCGGGAAUACCUGGACUGGCUGGGGUGUCCCACUGGGGAGGGUUUCCCGGUGGGGAGGUGUCUGGCGGGGGAGCGGCUCCGGCUAAGCAUGGGUGUUCUGCUAGGAGGAUGUGUCUGGCUGGGGGCGGUGUCCCAAUCGGGAGGGUUGCCCUGAUGGGGGAGGUUCUACAGUUGUGGAGAUGCCAACCUGGGGGGCGCUCCGGUUGGGGGGUGUGCCCUCUCUGGUUACCCCGCUCUCGCUGCCACUCAUAGGCCCGCUGCCCAGGUAUGCACAAGUCAAGGCCUUUUCUGCAGACCAAGUAGCCUUCCCUGGAGAGCGCCCCCAGCACCACGGAAACUACCUACAUGCCCCGCGGUGGUCAGCCCGCCUUAUCCCAGCCCCGAGACCCAAAACAAGAAGCAUGGACUGAAUUUGAGGUUUCUGGAUGGUCGUGUGAACCGAGGGGACGGGUACUGGACUGACAAGAAAUGAGCCUUGAAGGUCAAUCUGGGUGACACCCGAGUCUCCUGGUGAGUCGGACUCCGGAGAAUUAUCUCAAGUCCAGCAUAGACAGCGCACAUAGACAGAAAAGGAAACGGACAAUCCCAAGUGCCAAGGGAACCUUCCCAGGUUUCUUUAGGGCAGCUAAACUGCUCUGUCAAAGCCUAAGUCCAUUUAUGACAGGCCGAGCACCCUGAGCCCUCGCAGGAGACACGAGCGCCUUCAUGGCCCUCCUGCCCCGCACCCACCUCUCCGCCACCCCUGCUGUCUGUCCCUUCCCUGAAACCUUUAUUUCGAGUGUCUUUGUGGCUUCCCUCUUUACCAUCCUUGAGUUGAAAUAUCACCUCUUAAGGGAAGCCUUCCCUCUCCUCCCUAGUUAAAAUGAUACUGCCCCCCCAUACCUGUCUUCGUUGACUUACUUGGCUCCAUCACAGUGUGUGUCAUGUGACUCUCCCACAUCCUGAUUUGGAAUAUUGUCUCCCUACUAGAAUGUAAGUCCAUGGUGCCUAGAACAAUACCUGGUGUACAGGAGACAAAAUAUUUGUUGACUGGGCCGGGUGCGGUGGCUCACGCCUGUAAUCCCAGCACUUUGGGAGGCCGAGGUGGGCAGAUCAUGAGGUCAGGAGAUGGAGACCAGCCUGGCUAACAUGGUGAAACCCCAUCUCUACUAAAAAUACAAAAAAUAGCCGGGAGUGGUGCUGGGCGCCUGUAGUCCCAGCUACUCGGGAGGCUGAGGCAGGAGAAUGGCAUGAACCCGGGAGGCAGAGCUUGCAAUGAGCUGAGAUUGUGCCACUGCACUCCAGCCUGGGCAACAGAGCAAGACUCUGUCUCAACAACAACAACAAAAAAAUUGUUGACUGAAUAAAGGGAGUUAGAAUGUGAAGAAAAAUCCUUCACCAAGCAAACAUCCACCCUAAGUGAAGGUGUGGGAAGCAGCUGCAGGCAGCUUUUUCACUCCAUUUUUCCAUCAGCUGCUACCCUUGUGUGCCCCUCAGCACUUAUGUCAAGAUGCUGCUCUCAGCACGUGACAUGCUAACACUGCAGACUUCAGGUCAGUCCUGAGAGGCAGGCACUGUUCUUACCCACAUUUUAUAAGUGACUGAACUGAAGCAAGGGAGUGGUGAGAGGCAGUGAUGGGAUUCAGCCCAGGAGGCCUUCCUUUCAACCAUAUACUGCACUGCUUCCAGGAGGCGCUUCACAGAUGACCCCACCUGUGGUACACUUUCUGCUGUUCUCCAAUAUUCAUGCUGCCUGUCCCACAAUUAGUAAAAUUUUAGCCAAGUACAGGACUGCCUGGCUAAAGACCACAUUUCCAACAGGAAGGGGACAGGUCAGAGACAAAAAGUGACAAUCCAUUUCCCAGUCUGUCCCUCAAAAGUCCCACCAUUAGGCUGGGCAGUGGUGAAAGCUGUCAACAGCCAUCUGGGAGCCAGGGAUGGGAACCACUAUGUAGGAAUGACAACUCUGCCACAAGGCCAGGAUCUGCCCCCUCUGGACUGUUCAAGAAAUAAACUGUCAUGCUAUGAGGGUGGGGGGCUGUACCCUACAGUCCCACGAGUUUUUUGUGGGGUUUUGUUUUUUUAUUUUUUGAGGCAGUCUUGCUCUGUCACCCAGGCCGGAGUACAGUGGCACAAUCUCAGAUCACUGUAACCUCUGCCACCUGGGUUCAAGCGAUUCUCCUGCCUCAGCCUCCUGAGUAAUUGGGAUUACAAGCAUGUGCCAUGAUGCCCAGCUAUUUUUUUUUUUUUUUUUUUUUUGUACAGAUGGAGUUUCACUAUGUUGCCCAGGCUGAUCUGGAACUCCUGACCUCAAGCAAUCCACCUGCCUCAGCCUCCCAAAGUACUGGGAUUACAGGAGGGAGCCACCGUGCCCGGCCUGGUCCUGUGCAUUUUAUAGAUAAGAACCCUGCCUUUCAGGCCUUGGAGACGUGGGCAGGGGAGAAGCAGCGUCCCUCAGAGCCAGGCCUGGCAGUGGUGCUAGCAGGGGCCAAGGCCCAGGGAGCAGGGUCUCCUGUCGGAGGGACCUGGGCAAGCCCCUCCACGCGCCAGCGGGUUUCUCAGCAGGGGAGGUCCACACCACACCGCUUGGGAACCUGGGUGCCUAAACGCAACAGGAGCCAAGGCACAAAUUUAACCAAACACCAAGGUUGCGUGAGGCCCCAUUUCAUGAGCCGGGCUCCAAGGACGUGUCCUUAGGCGGCUCUGGAAGGCCCAGCGCCAGCCCCCGUCCUCUGUUAAAGGGAGCCAGCCCCGCGGCUCCGCCCAGGCAUGGUAGCCUGAGCGCGCCCCCAGGGUAGUAGGGGGCACCUGAGGAGCAGGGUCUGCCCUGGCAUGAGCAGAGCCCAGGAUGGGGUCAGGGUCAGGCCCUGCCAGAGGCUGGAGGGUGCCCAAGGCGAGGCCGGUGAGGCCCAGC
rnacentral:lncRNA from 1 species